UUCAAGUAGCUCUCUCAAUAAAGUGUUGAAAAUAGAAAAAAAAAAAACAAUAUAAUUACACAUCGUGGUCAAAACUCUGUUCUGUGUAGCGAAAGUCACCUUUAGUCAAGUAGUUUUUUUCAUGCAAGCGUUUAUACUUCAACAGUUGAAACUGUUCUCAGCCUUUUGGAGAUUCAGCAAAUCAUAAUGGAUUAUUAGGCACACUAAUGAUUAUUUUAUUUCAUUUACAAAUUUUGCAGCAUAAUGCCAAGAAAAGAGAGGCUACAGCGCAAAAGAUGUCUGUGAACAUUCCUGCUUCUAUCUGAGUCUGAUUGACAUCAGUAUCCUACUUUCUGAUCAACACACAGAAAGAGCUGCUAGAAACAUUGUGCAGUGUGACAUUGCUUUGACCCAUCUUGUCAACAGUUGCUGCAUCGACCUCCUUUUCAGACAAACGUCUUUCCUUCUUUAUUUUCACCGUUUGCAUUAAACCAUGUGGCUAGAACCCCCAAAUUUCUGAAAACACUUUUGUUCUCCUUCAGUGAUAACUUGACUCAAUGACGUCUAAAGAAAGACAUUUUUCAACUAAAAAAUUGCUGCACAUCAUAGAGAAAAACAUGAUUAUGUGUUUGUAAUAGUCCCUUUGAUUCCUUUUCAUAAGUUAUAAAUCAGGGUGAUAUUUGAAGGUAAAUGUGCAUUAGCCUCUUCCAGUGUUACUGCAGAGAUCUCUUGCUGUUCUGGUCACUCAACACCAGCAUUUCCCAGUGUCAGUGAAGUGAAGAUCAGAGAUGAUUGUUGAUUUCCUUUGUGUUGUUGUAAUCAUUGUCAUUGAAUAUUGCUUGCACUGGAGGCAAUCUUACACAAAAUGACCUUUUCAUGACACUCAGGAUAUGAGCAGGAAACUUUGACCCCCAGAUUCACCAUCCUCUGCUCCAAGUUGCUUAGAGCCCGAAGAGAGCAUGUACAAGUUCAAGCGAUAAAAAAGGGGAUAUAAAGGAGUCGUAAACAAAAGAAAUGUUUCAUUCAUCAUUUCAACAGCGUCCAAAGAGUUCUCAUAAAAAAGCAAAUGCAGUUAAGUUUAGCCAUUGUAUAUUUGGCAUCAUAAUUACAAGCAGGAUGCAAAUCUAUUCAGAGAGGAUUACGACGUUUCAAACUGAAUAUCGGAGUCUGGGGGUUUUUCAUGUGUUGUUUUUUUACCUACUGCUAACACUUACUCACUACUAGAUGUCGCCAAGAUCCCCUUAUGUUGAGGGUAAAAGGUGUUCUGCAUUUCCAUCAACCUGGAGGAGUAUAAGAAGGUGGAGCUGUCAGCACUCCAGUGCCUGAGUGUGAACCUCUGUGGAAUCCUCAUAUCCUGGUCUCACGUUCUUGCGACCAUCAGCUCUGGCUCUAAGUCCUCAGUUUUGCCUCAGCCUAAGUACUCAAACCUCAGAAGAAACCUAGUUUAGUUCAAUCUCCAGUUGACAGCUCAAUACCAACUCCGUUAGACAAGCGAACCCUGCUCACCCUCCACCAAUUGUUCACCAAAGACUCACCAGGUAAAAUCAUCUCAGUUUAAUUGAUCCGGAUUAUCUUACUGCCUAUACUCACCAAAGCCUCUGCAGAGUACUCACCGUCAUCCUGGAUUAUUCACCGUUUUCGCAGCAAUGUCUGUUCAGUCCUCCCGGGCUCCGCAUCAUUCCUCCUCGCCAACCUCUAUUCAUCAAAACAUGCUGUGCCUCCAGUCCCGGUUCCAGUUAAACAUCCAUUACCUGUCAAAUAAACUUGUUAAACUUU